GAUACAUUAAUGGUUGAUUAUGAAUUACUUAUACAGAUAGAUAUAUACAUAUUCUAAAGAUGGCUUUCUGUUUUGUUUACAGUUGAUGCCUUCCUUGACAUUUCUUGUGUUGUUGAAACAUCUUCUAUUCUCAAAGUCCUGCCAGACUUCUCUCUUGCUUUCCAUCUGUUUUUCUGUGCCCUCUUAAACUUUAUCCCCUGCCCCCUUUCUCUUUUCUGCCUUUUCUAUCGGUCACAGACACCGUUCUGUACCAGGCGACCUCAAGGACCAGGUGGUCACAGACACUGUUCUGUACCAUCUGUAUUAAAGGACCAGGUGGUCACAGACACCGUUCUGUACCAUCUGUAUUAAAGGACCAGGUGGUCACAGACACUGUUCUGUACCAUCUGUAUUAAAGGACCAGGUGGUCACAGACACCGUUCUGUACCAUCUGUAUUAAAGGACCCAGGUGGUCACAGACACUGUUCUGUACCAUCUGUAUACCCAGUGAAUAAGGACCCAGGUGGUCACAGACACUGUUCUGUACCAUCUGUAUACCCAGUGAAUAAGGACCCAGGUGGUCACAGACACUGUUCUGUACCAUCUGAAAAACUUCUGAAUAAGGACACAGACGGUCACAGACACUGUUCUGUACCCUCUGAAUACCCUGUAAGUAAGGAAAAAGACAAUCUAAGACACUGUUUUGUACCCUUGGAAAAUUGAAAAGAGACACGUUUUUUAUUUAUACUUGUUAUUGUUCUCAUUUUAUCCUGUGCAGUGUUUUCUUGUGAUUUGUUUCAGUUCAGGUGACCUUAAGAAGCAAACCAUCUGCAGUCAGAGACCUUCUUCAUCCUGACCUUAUCUACAGUUGAAGACCGUCACACAUUCACAACAUUCACUGAAGCUGUAGUUUGAAGCUGUAGUCACAUAUUUAAUAGCAGUACAUAUAAUAUUCCCCC